AUUGAACGCUGGCGGCAUGCUUUACACAUGCAAGUCGAACGGCAGCGCGGGCUUCGGCCUGGCGGCGAGUGGCGAACGGGUGAGUGAUGCAUCGGAACGUGCCCAGUAGUGGGGGAUAGCCCGGCGAAAGCCGGAUUAAUACCGCAUACGACCUGAGGGUGAAAGCGGGGGACCGAAAGGCCUCGCGCUAUUGGAGCGGCCGAUGUCGGAUUAGCUAGUUGGUGGGGUAAAGGCUUACCAAGGCGACGAUCCGUAGCUGGUCUGAGAGGACGACCAGCCACACUGGGACUGAGACACGGCCCAGACUCCUACGGGAGGCAGCAGUGGGGAAUUUUGGACAAAGGGGGCAACCCUGAUCCAGCCAUGCCGCGUGCGGGAAGAAGGCCUUCGGGUUGUAAACCGCUUUUGUUCGGGAAGAAAUCCUCUGGGCUAAUACCCCGGGGGGAUGACGGUACCGGAAGAAUAAGCACCGGCUAACUACGUG
rnacentral:rRNA from 1 species